GCCUCCAACUGUCACACUACUCCAAGGGCUCCAGAUACUACCUUUUCUUUCCUGACCCACUCCUCAGGCAUUGCCCUUCCAAUUGCUAUGGCAACUUCCCUUCCUGGGGCAGAAUGAAUGAACCUAAAGGCUGAGCAGGAGAAGAUUUUGGAGACCCUGAAAGUACUGACCAAAAACUCAAUGUGCUCUCAGAGAGAUGAGGAGUCCAAAAGAACAAGGGAAAACCCUUGGGGAAGAAAAAAGCAGUGAUGCAGAAGGUAUUGGAAAUAUGAAACAGCAUCAGGUUGCUUGCUGAGAAGAGUCUAAAAGGAUCUACUACAGCUCUCUCUUCCUGGGCACAUUUCCUAGCAACUGUGAAUUAACUCAGUAGAGGCAUAUGGUAAGCACCACAAGAACCCAGUUACAGUAUCCAUCUACCAUUACAGGCCACUCCAAAGCCAUCACAAGGGGACCUGCUACCUUCCUGCCUCUGUUCUGGAUCCCUGAGAACAGAGCUUCAAAGGUACCUCUACACUUUCAGCUUGAGCAGACAUACCUAGGGUAGCUCCGAUGGAG